AGCAGCCGCCGCGGUAAUACGGAGGGAGCUAGCGUUGUUCGGAAUUACUGGGCGUAAAGCGCGCGUAGGCGGUUACUCAAGUCAGAGGUGAAAGCCCGGGGCUCAACCCCGGAACUGCCUUUGAAACUAGGUGACUAGAAUCUUGGAGAGGUCAGUGGAAUUCCGAGUGUAGAGGUGAAAUUCGUAGAUAUUCGGAAGAACACCAGUGGCGAAGGCGACUGACUGGACAAGUAUUGACGCUGAGGUGCGAAAGCGUGGGGAGCAAACAGGAUUAGAUACCCCUGUAGUCCAUGUCUCUUAUAC
rnacentral:rRNA from 1 species